rnacentral:rRNA from 1 species
UGGGGAAUUUUGGACAAUGGGCGCAAGCCUGAUCCAGCCAUGCCGCGUGCGGGAAGAAGGCCUUCGGGUUGUAAACCGCUUUUGUCAGGGAAGAAAUCUUCUGAGUUAAUACCUCGGGAGGAUGACGGUACCUGAAGAAUAAGCACCGGCUAACUACGUGCCAGCAGCCGCGGUAAUACGUAGGGUGCAAGCGUUAAUCGGAAUUACUGGGCGUAAAGCGUGCGCAGGCGGUUUUGUAAGACAGAGGUGAAAUCCCCGGGCUCAACCUGGGAACUGCCUUUGUGACUGCAAGGCUUGAGUGCGGCAGAGGGGGAUGGAAUUCCGCGUGUAGCAGUGAAAUGCGUAGAUAUGCGGAGGAACACCGAUGGCGAAGGCAAUCCCCUGGGCCUGCACUGACGCUCAUGCACGAAAGCGUGGGGAGCAAACAGGAUUAGAUAGCCCUGGUAGUCCACGCCCUAAACGAUGUCAACUGGUUGUUGGGAAGGUUCCUUCUCAGUAACGUAGCUAACGCGUGAAGUUGACCGCCUGGGGAGUACGGCCGCAAGGUUGAAACUCAAAUGAAUUGACGGGGUCAUAGC